CCCAAGAGAUCGGGAUAACACCUGGAAACAGAUGCUAAUACCGGAUAAUAACAGAUGAUGCCUAUCAACUGUUUAAAAGAUGGUUCUGCUAUCACUCUUGGAUGGACCUGCGGUGCAUUAGCUAGUUGGUAGGGUAACGGCCUACCAAGGCGAUGAUGCAUAGCCGAGUUGAGAGACUGAUCGGCCACAUUGGGACUGAGACACGGCCCAAACUCCUACGGGAGGCAGCAGGC
rnacentral:rRNA from 1 species